AUACGUAGGGGGCGAGCGUUGUCCGGAAUGAUUGGGCGUAAAGGGCGCGUAGGCGGCCCGGUAACUCUGGAGUGAAAGUCCUGUGUUUAAGAUGGGAAUUGCUUUGGUUACUGUCGGGCUUGAGUGCAGGAGCGGUAAGUGGAAUUUCCCGUGUAGCGGUGAAAUGCGUAGAGAUUGGUAGGAACACCAGUGGCGAAGGCGACUUACUGGACUGUAACUGACGCUGAGGCGCGAAAGUGUGGGGAGCAAACAGGAUGAGAUACCCUGGUAGUCCACACUGUAAACGAUGAAUGCUAGGUGUAGUGGGUAUCGACCCCUUCUGUGCCGCAGUCAACACAAUAAGCAUUCCGCCUGGGGAGUACGGCCGCAAGGUUGAAACUCAAAUGAAUUGACGGGG
rnacentral:rRNA from 1 species